rnacentral:rRNA from 1 species
AUUGAACGCUGGCGGCAGGCCUAACACAUGCAAGUCGAGCGGAGCGGCGGACGGGUGGGUAAUGCCUAGGAAUCUGCCUGGUAGUGGGGGAUAACGUCCGGCAACGGGCGCUAAUAACGCAUACUAGCCGACGAGCCUAGGUCAGAUUAGCUAGUUGGUGGGGUAAAGGCUUACCAAGGCGACGAUCCGUAACUGGUCUGAGAGGAUGAUCAGUCACACUGGAACUGAGACACGGUCCAGACUCCUACGGGAGGCAGCAGUGGGGAAUAUUGGACAAUGGGCGCAAGCCUGAUGCAGCCAUGCCGCGUGUGUGAAGAAGGUCUUCGGGUUGUAAAGCACUUUAAGUUGGGAGGCGUUACCAACAGAAGAAGCACCGGCUAACUUCGUGCCAGCAGCCGCGGUAAUAC